CAAUAGCGUAUAUUAAAGUUGUUGCAGUUAAAAAGCUCGUAGUUGGAUUUCUGGUGGGAGCGAUCGGUCUGGCGCUUAGCGCGAGUACUUGCAUCGUCUCCGGCCAUCCUUGGGGAGAGUCUGUCUGGCAUUAGGUUGUCGGGCAGAGGAUCCUCAUCGUUUACUGUGAAAAAAUUAGAGUGUUCAAAGCAGGCUUAUGCCGUUGAAUAUAUUAGCAUGGAAUAAUAAGAUAGGACUUUGGUACUAUUUUGUUGGUUUGCGCACCAAAGUAAUGAUUAAUAGGGAUAGUUGGGGGUAUUUAUAUUCCGAUGUCAGAGGUGAAAUUCUUAGAUUUUCGGAAGAUAAACUUAUGCGAAAGCAUUUACCAAGGAUGUUUUCAUUAA
rnacentral:rRNA from 1 species